rfam:Triticum aestivum genome assembly, contig: Triticum_aestivum_CS42_TGACv1_scaffold_250804_3DL
AGUUGAUGGGAUGAUAAUCUUUGGCAGAAAAUCGUUUUUAGUGUUGACCAAAAUUACAGACUACAAUUAUCUGAUCAACU